AGCCUUCAGCGGAAAACACAAAGAGCAUCCGAUAGCGUUCUUCUUCCUCUUCUGUAAUAGCCACCUCUCCUGCCCCUCGCACCGACACAGGCGCGAUCCGUGCCGGCACCCCGUUGCCCGCCAUCGCUCACCCUCCCUCUCUGUGUCGCAGGCGUAUAUCGCCAGGCGACUGACACGCUGCGGUGCGCACACAAGCGAACACACGCAAAGCCACAAACACCCGCACAAAGGCACAUCUAAACUAAGGGAUAAGAGCGUCAGAUCACGUGUUGGGGGGCUGGUCUGUGCACCUUGCCGUGUAGGGGCGCUCGCGUGCGCGUCGUGCGAGUCUGCGUGUGUGUACGUGUGUCUUCCGUUUGCCAGCACCUCUUUCCUUCUCUCUUCCAGAGCUCGAAACGCGCACGCGUGUGUGGCCGCUGUGUGCGUGUGGCAUCUCUCUCUCCCCUCGGCCUGGCCUUGUUUCCUGUUCUUCUCUGUUCGUUUUUUUUUCGUUGUUGUUGCGCGCUGUCUUCUUUUCUCUACAUCGCGAUCUAUAUCUGUACAUCUCUCUCUAUAACCAUCUAUCGAUAGAUGGUUAUAUAGAGAGAGAGGGAGAUAUAUAUUUAUUGAUAUCUAGUGCUGUAAAUUCAUCUAUUUAUCUGCCUCUCUCUCUAUAUAUACAUCUCUGUUUCUCUCUAUAUAUACCUGUGCAUACAUAUAUACAAAUACACACACACACAUAUAUAUAGUUGCAGAGAGAGAGAGGGGGGAGGGAGAGACUAAUUCUUUUUUUGUGUGUGUGUGGUGUUGGUGGUUUGACGCUUGUGCACCCAUCUCCAGUUGAGUUGUCUUUUUUCUGCCCUGUGUUGGUCUCGAUGGAUUGACUGCCUCUGUUCUCUCUCCCACUCCCACUCCCACUCCCACUCUCUCGCUGUGGUAUCCACUUCAACGGUGCAACAUCUUCGCCGUCCUUCUCUGUCGUUUGCCGUUGCUGCUCUACUUUAAGUGUCGUGUCCUUUUCAGCAUAUCUUCCCUUCCCUCUCCAGAGCUUUCCCCAAUCCCGUGGGAUAUGCCGGGGUAGCCGUACUCUCUUACGCUUUUCUAGCUUCCAUUGUUUCUGUAUUUUGAUAUACACAGCUCCUUCUUCGAUCCCCAUUGUCUUCGGCGCAGCAGCCAUAAUCAUUGUCCUCACCUGCUUGCCCCCCUCCCCACGCGAUCCUUCCGUCCUUCCCUCAUCCACUGACACGCUUCACCGCAUACUGCCGCCAUCCUCUGCCUCUCAUCGCUCUGGGCUUCUCGUGUGUUGUCUCGGCCCUCAAUACACAACACAGGAGUAGCCUUCCCUCCUCUGACAAGGGUGCACGAACUUGAGCAGAGAAGCAGAGACGAAGUGGCACACAGGCAGAGGUACAAGAGCGUCCGUGUGCACAGGAGCAUUACCGGUCACCCAAAUCUGUCUCUCUGUCGUUUGUUGUUGUCGGUUUGUUUCUCUCCAACUCCCUCUCUCGAGCUCGUCGGUUCUCCGCAGAAAGCACUGUGACGUGCGCACGCAAAGUCUGCACAAAACGCUUAUCCUCGUCACCGUCGCGCGCGUGCAUUGGUCUGUGCCAGGGAGCUACCAGGAGGACAGCGCGAGACACAUACACACUCACACAUCAAUUAGAUACUAACGACGCAGAGAAGGAGGACUCGAACAAGCAACAACGGCAACAGCAAAAGACGUCGACGACACCGAAAAUAGGCCUCUUCCAGCCACUUGAUUGUCUGUGCCUCAAUCUCUCUCUCUGUGUUUGCUGUUGUGUCGUCUUGUGUCACGGUCUCUGUUUGUGCCUGUGCGUGUGUGUGUGUGUGUUGUGUUGCCUCGCUUAUUUUUUUUUCUUCUGCCUCGUUUCCUCCCGGUAGAAAUCAAGGCAGAAACAGGGCACCCGCCCAUCCACCCACACACGCACAAGCACGCACACACACAUAUAUAUAUAUAUAUACGUCCACACGCCUCUGUUGUCCCUCCCUGCCUUCUCUUCUACUCUCUCUGUCUUCUCUCUCGCCUUCUCUCGGCGGCACUUCUCUUUUUCAAGUUUGUCUUCCGUCUUUUAAUUUUUCUUUCGCGUGCCUGGCCGUGUCUCUGGGCGCAUUUUAUCUUUCGUGGCUUUGUGUGUGUGUGUGUGUGUCUUGUGUUCCCUCCGCCACACAGCGCUCUCUCACUCUCCCCCUCCCUCUUUCCUGUCCCUUGUAUCGCGUGCCAUGAUUUGUCGGCUUCUUUUUGUUUUGCGUGCCUUCGUUUAAAGAAACGAUUAGACGUUCGUGUGCUGCGUGUGUUGCGUGUUCCUUCGCUCCUCUGCGAAACGUUUCCCUUCUCGUACGUGAACCUGUGCCCGGCUCGCUUGUCUGUUUACUACUUGGACCGUCUCGUGCAUCGUCUCGCUGGCUCGCUCGCUCACUUUCGUUGCGUGCGCACCGCAUUGCAUUGGACUGCCGAGACGAGCGUCGUUGUCUUUCAUCUCUGGUGUGGCGUUUAGCCUCUGCACUCGUUGCUUGUCGACUACGACAGCAGGUUUGCGUGUACCUGCGCGCGUAUUGAUCCUCUACCUCACCUCUUCUUCUUCCUCCCACCUACUGUUUUCCGUCGCGUGCGUUUGUGUGUGUGUGUGUCUUUUCCGCUGCUGCGUGUUUUUGGUGGCCGUCUGUCCCGUCUUCUCCUCUUCACUCCCCUCCCCACUAAGUGUUUUUACUUCACCUAACGCUGCUUUCACCGCUCUUGCAUCGGUUAAACGCGACCUCCUCCUCCUCCUUGUUUUGUCCGUGUCUGGGUGCCUGUGCAGGUGUGUGCGUGUGUAUACGUUUCUUUGCAGCCGCGGUCUUCUUUUCCUUUGCUGGUGUUGGUGUUGUUGCUGUUCUUCUUCACGUUCCCCGAGUUUGUGUGUUGUUCGUUAGUGCUUGAGCCCCUCCACCCCUCCCUCCGGCAACAGCUCAGCACGUUGGGCCAGACAAAUACACGGUUGCCUUCAAGGACGCUUUUCUGCCGUUGCUGUGUGCCGUGUUCUUCAUCCAACGCAACACCAGCGGCAUCAGCUCGCCAUCAUCGCAAUUCGGUCAUAGAAAGCGGAGAGCAAACACACGUAGCCACACACCACGAAAGACACCUGACAAACAACAGCGAAAAAAAAAGGAACGAGCAGGGGCACAAAACUCUCGAACUGUGUCGACGAAGUUCUGCAGUGCCACCCCCCCCCCUCCCCGGCGCCUCUCUCUUCGUUUAUUCGUGUGUACGUGUGGGCUUGCGUGCCCGCGCUGAGCGUCUCUCUCUGAAAACGCACUUCUCCCUCCUCCCUAACUCUCGCAUAUUUGUUUUGCCUUUCGUCUUGUGGUGCUUAACCCACCCCCUCCCCCUCCCCCUUCUUUUUUUUUGCUAGCGGCGCCCCACCCCCACCCCCUCUCUCUCUCUGUAUCUGCCGUGCAGGCGGUUGUGCCAUAAGCGUGUCUUCGCUGGAUUGUGGGCCCGCUCACCUCCCGCCACGCCGACUUCCUUCUUUCUCUUUCCGCUUUCCCCUUUCUCUAGUGCACCGUCUCCCUCGUGUUGCUGGUGCGUGUGUCUUCGUGCCUUGUGCUGUGUGUCUGUUGCUCUCUGCCCCGCUGUCUCCCUGUCACCGGCUCCCAUCACCAUUGCUUUUUUUUGUUGUUCGCCGCUUGCUCGCCCCCGCCUCUGGAGUUUUGUGUGCGUGUGCUUCCUGAGAGUCCUGCGCCGCUCUUUUUUUCUGUUUUUCUUUUUUGUUGUUGUUUUCGGCUCUUCGUCGCUUCAGCACACACCUCAAGCACACACACACACACAAACGCGCGCCCUGCUUACGGCGUCAUCGGACUUGCUUCGUUGUUUUUGUUUUCCUUCGUCUUUGUUUCUCUCCUUUGAAAAGUCGUUUGUUUGCUGUCGCGCCGCACCGUCGAUCUCCUGCGCGCUCUCCGUGUCGCUCUCGCUCUUGCCCUCGUCAUCUCCGCACACACACACGCACAUAUAUAUAUAUAUAUAUAUGAUUCGUGCCUUGCGCCUCGCCGAGUUCUUGCCUCUUUCCUUUCGCUCGCUUCUUUUUUUUUCUAGUCCUUCCCCCUCGUUUUCCUUUGCGGUGCGCUUUCCCUCUUUACUCCACGUCGAACGGUGCGUCGUGACACUUUUAGAUUGCAUCGACGCGCACCUCCACACACGUGCACGCAGGCUCUGGACUUGGUAGAAGCGCAGCGGAUCUUUUUUUCCCGUCCGCAUCUCGCUUUUGCGCUUGUGUGUGUGUGUGUGUGGGCGUGUCUGUCCGCGACGCCUGUGUGCCAUCGACGAAGUUGUGCAAGAGUAUGCGUGUGCGCGUGGGUUUCUCGUCUCUCCCCUCCCUCCCUCCCUCCCUCCUCCUUCCCGCAAAAGAAAACAAAAUUGAGCGCUUCAUCUUUUCUUCGCCAUCUGGCCAUCUCGCUUAUCUGUUCGCAUCAGCGUCACCGACCCUUUUUUCUUUGUGUGUGUGCCUUCGCUCUUCGUUUUCUUUUCCACCGUCUUCUGAAACCGCAAACUCUUUCGUUGCUGCCGACUUCUCCUACCCACCUCUAGUUUUCUUUUCCUUGUGUGUGUCUCUGUGUGUUUGUGUAGGUUUUACCGCUUGCUUCUUUUCGUUUUCGGUUCGUGCCGCAUCUGCAUUUCCGUGUCGUCUUCUUGUUCUCUGCUUGCUGCUUCCUUGCUUCUCACACACCUCGUCCCCUCUCCCUCUCCCGCUGGCGCUCUGUCUUCGCGUCGUGCGAGCGUGUUUGUGUGUCUCGUGUGCCUGCCUUUUUCGCGAAAGAGGCCUUCGCCUUCUGUUUUUGUUCUAACGUUGUUUAUGUGCGCGUUGGUGGUGUCGGCGGCGGCAAAUUGCGUCUUGACGUGUUCACACUGGUUCCUGCACUGUCUUCUCUCUCGACCCUUCCUCGCCUCCUCUCCUCUUCUCUUCUCUCUGUCUUCUCUGUUCGUCGUGGCACGGCGGGCCCUCUUGUCGUUGUCGAUUUCGCGUUUCUUCGCCUCCUUCACCUUCUUUGUUUGCUCAGCAUUCGUUUCGUCGCUUGAUUGUGCGCUCUUCCCUCUCUUGUCCGGCACUCGGUCUGUCAGCUCUUCUUCUCGCGUGUCACCGCUUCACACCACCCACCACCCCAUCUCCCUCUCUUUUUUUUUUCGUUUCUUUUUCUUUGUUUCUCGUGUGUAUCUUCGUUCUUUUUUUUCCGGCUCUAUCUUGUGCGCGUUGCUGCCCCGAUAAAACGUUUGUCUAACAGCUCGACUGCUGCACAGCAACAGGUCGCUUUCCACACCAACGCGCGCGCGCAGGCACUCUGCCUUCGGGGUGGGCGCACGCGUGCGUGCCUUUGAUUUCGUCUUCCCUUUUUUUAUUGGUUGCUCGUUCUCCUUCCGUUCUUUUACUUCUGCCGCCGCUGCGCCGCUGUCGCUGCCUCUCGGUCCCCUCUCUUUCUCGCUCCCUCUUCGUCCCUCGGCUCUUUUCUCGCCUCCUUUCUCUUGAACGUGCGCGCGUGCGUGUGUGCGACACGUUUUUCCGCCAUCCAUGCUCACUCCAGCCAUGUUCGAGCUUCUUUUGAGCUUCUCGCCACAGCCGCCCCGCGCUAUGCUUGCGGCUGGUCCAGGCGCGCGAUGCGCCACGGAGCGACGCUGUUGCGUGGGUUCAAGCAGCACUCUCAGCUUCACGGUAGAGCGCGUUCCUGCUCGUUACGCGCGUGAGCGAGGUGUCUGCCUCGCACCCGCAGCCGGCGUACGGGAGGUGAUGGUGGUAACGUGUUGUGCUGCCGGUCGCAAGGAUGGCGCGCAGGCUGCGCUGGAGGUGGGCAUGUGGUGGGUCGACCGCUGCCUCAGCACGGCCGUGCAGCAAGCGGCUGGAGGGACGGCGGUGCUGUUUUGUUGUAUGAAGAUUGUGGACGUGGCAGUGGAGCGGCUAACGCUCUACUCAAGUGAGGACUCGCCGCUCCCUGCAUCAUCGGCCAUCGGGCGUAUGCGCAUGCCUCGGCAUUUCUUUGGGCUUCAGCUGUUUCGCCUUGGAGAACUGCGUCAUGUGCAGCUCUCCCCGUCAGUGCGGCGGCUGGUCGUCGAGGUUGACGUCCGAUCGUGCCUGCGUUGGCCCCAGUCGGAGGUGAACAACUUCCUAGCCAGCUUGCAGUCCCCGCUGCGUGCGGUUCAUGUAGCAACGUGCUCCGUAUCUCCCGUGAAGCUGCUGAACAAGUUUCACGCAUCUCUACGUGUUCUGUACUUGUUCCGUCGAACAACCACUGUCCGCGACCCCACAGACACUCGAGUGCCUGUCAACAUAGAGGACGAGGAGUACGAGGAAGAAGAGAGCAACACCAGCCCAUCUCUGACGCCUGCCAUGGAUGCGCCCGCCACGGCGCAACACGCGAGCCAGCUCCCUGCGGCGGUGCACGGGGUCGCACAGCUGUCACCCAUAGCGCGGACGGUGACACCGCAGUCGACAUCGACCACCUCGACAACUGCCACCGGGGCGCGAAGCCGGCGGACAAGGCGUCUGCGCCUCUCCUCUGCCGCCGCGGCUGCACCGGUGCUUGAGGAGCUCCACGUGACGAGCUCGGCCCGGCGCUCGUUGCCCCGCUGGGUGGAGACGUGCACGCGCCUGAAACACAUCACGCUGCGCAACUGCGCCUACAACCGAGUGGACUCGCUCCGUUUUGCCCGCAAGCUCACAAGCAUCUUGCUCGACGGAUGCGCGAGUUUUGUUGGGUUCGACUGCUUGUGUGGCUUUCCGGAACUGCGGUCGGUAACCGUGAAGAACUGCGGGCUUUUGCGUGAUCUCUCGUGGGUGCCGCGGCUGAGGGGUUCGCUGUCCUACCUGUGCAUUCACCACCUGUCGCCGGCGUCGAUCACCGCGUUUGCGUCCGCCUCCUGUCUCGGGAUGGGUCUGAGCGGGCUUGAGGAGCUCAAUCUCUCCAUACCGAGCCUGCACGCACUGCGGUCGUUUGUGGCGCACUCCUCCGCCACACUGCGUGAGUUGACGCUCUUCACGUGCAUGAGCUUGAGCGGCUUUUCAGACCUUCCCGCGCUGCCCGCCUUGGAGAAGGUGGUGAUCACCGGCAACUGCCACAUGCAGAACUUUUUGUGGUUGUCGAGGUCGCCUCGUGUUGUCGAGGUGCGUGCAACGCAGUGCUCGCAGCUGAUGUCCUUGACAGGACUCGACGCGCUGCAUCAGCUGCGCUUACUCGACGUCAAUGGGUGCCAACGCGUUCGCACCAUCGCCCCGCUCGCUGAGUGCGUUUCGCUGACGUACCUGGACGUGUCGCACUGCGGUCUGCUGACGAGAGUAUCAGUGCUUGAAAAGCUCCCAUGUCUCCAGUGCGUGUUGAUGCGCAACUGCACGUCGCUGGUAAAGGACUUCGGGUGGAUCGAGGCCUGUCCGAAGCUGGUGGAGCUCAUGGUGCCUGGACCGUCGUGGGUCGAGGCGGCGAGGGGUGUGCUGCGUCGCCUCGGCCGCCGUAAUGUAGUUCUUCGCUGAUGCGAGCCAAGAGAAUGCUGGGGGACGAGUGACGCAGGAUCAGAAGACGAAGAACGACCAUCACGGUUCUUUACCUUCACCCCUCUGCCUCCUGGUCACCUUCACGAAAAGGUGAUGGUCGGUGGUGGUGUUGGCGGGAGGAGGGAGGGAUGCAGCCACACCAGCUGCGAGCGAAGGAAUAAGAGAGGUGGAUUGCUGGCGGCGUUCUGACCCUCCCUCCCCCCGCCCCGCUUUCGUUGUCAUUGCUUCCGUCCUCGUCCCUUCCACCGCUGCCUCACCGCCGCACUCCUCCUCUGCUGUCCACCACGAGCGCGUCUGCGUUCGGAUUUCGUUCCUCAUCUUCCUCGCUCUCCCUCCUCUAGAAGUAAAUUGCAGAGAUGAGGCUAGAAGAACACGCCCUCCUCCUCUCCCAUUCGCACAUCGGCUGUGCCGUGCAUAUCGUGUUUUCCGCACGGCAGCAGAUGAUGUUGCCACCGUCGCUGUCGAUUGCCCGUGUCGUGGUCUCCUGCCGCCCUCUCUGCCCCUUACCUCUCUGUCUUGUUUACCUUCUUCCCCUCUUUCGAUGCAGCUCCGCAUUAUCAUCGCGCUCCUUCGCGUCAUCUAGUUUUUGUUCGUUGUUCUCCUGGCACACGCACGUGCGCAUCUGUGUGUGCAUGCACGUGUUCUCACCUCCAGCCUGCGUUGACCCCUCCCCUCUUCCCCCGUUUUCUUGUGUCGUUCCUCCCCCCCUCCACAAACACCGCCUUCUCACCGUGUUCCUUCUCUGAUCUAUCAGUGCCCUUCAUAUGUUCUAAAGUCUUGUUUGCUGGCCUGUGUGUCUGCACGUGUUACGCUAGCGUUCUUCUCCCUCCCUCUCCCUCGCCACAUCAGCGCGUAAGUCGUGGAGAAGAUCUCCACGAGUGCGUGGCUCAUAUGUGCCCGAGAGCUUCUCGUUCUUUCUCCCUCUUCUCCGCUUAUUGAUGUUGAGCUCCAUUGCUGUACCGAACGCUUGCUAUGCGCCUCUUGUUUCCCUGCGUCUGUCUGUAUUUCUGUGUCUGUGCGUGUGUGUGUGUGUGGGUCAGACACAAUCUCUAUCUCUUGCUGUUGUUGUUCGCUCGCUCUCGUAAUUCGGCUGCUCCCCUCUCCCUCUCUCGAGCUUUUUGUUGCUGCUUGCGCUUGUCUGCGCCGCGCACCCGUACCUCCGACCUUACAAACAUACACACACAUAAAUCAGCUGUGAGGACCGGCUCCAGCUUUCUCUCUCCUCCUCCCUCUUCGUGUCUGGUUCAUUGUCUUCCCUUCCCUACCACCACCCCUUCAUUUUGUUUCCGCCUGUGCGUGUGUCAUGCUCGUCUAACUGUGCCCGGAGGAGGGCGUACCCACUCCCCUCGACUUCCCUGCGCCUCGCCCCUUCCUUUGGGUUCUUCCUAUCCUCGGCGAUAUACAUCACGCACAUUCACGCGCUCCCCCUUCCUCCGGAUAGCCUCACGAGGUCGUGCGUGCGCGCGUGCGUCACUCAAGCGAAACGGACCUCCUCAACGUCCCUCGCACCUCGCUCACUCACUCUCCUCUUCUCCAUCCACCGCCUCCCUCCCCUCCCCCAAUCCCGCGCCUUCAUUUCUUUGACAGCAAACAAUGAGGGUGCUUCUGUGCGGGAGUGAAAGGAGGGAAGGGGGAGGGCGGAGGGGAUACGCGUUGAUGGCCUGCGUGUCUAUGCGCUCCCGUGUAUCGGCGUGUCUCGGCGUGGGUGCUCGGGGCCGACGCGAGGUGGCGGCGGCCGAGUAGCCACACAAAAGCCGAGAUGGGGCGUACAACACCGGGUGGCGAAGGACGGGCGAAGGGGUAGGGUUUGUGUGAGUAUAUGGCGACGGAAGGCGGUGCUCUUCUCUAUUUUGUUCGGCUUCUUCGGUCUUCGCAGCGAAGGAGGAGAAAGAGUGAGGUGGCUAUUCAAUAAGGAGGGGAGGGGAGAAUGUGGGGAGAUGGAUCGGCGCAGGAGCAUGACGUGAAGAAGCUUGUUCUUCGUCUCUGUCUUUUGUGGCCGCCUCGUAUCUCUUUCUCUCUCUUCCUCUCCAGGGCUACACAUCACAGCUGCGGUCUGUCAACCUCUCUCCUCAUUGUCCUUCCUCAUUCCUCGUUGUCCUCUGAACAACACACGCAUAUAG
rnacentral:misc_RNA from 1 species